rnacentral:rRNA from 1 species
GACGAACGCUGGCGGCGUGCUUAACACAUGCAAGUCGAACGGAAAGGCCUGCUUUCCCUUGUGGAUUGCGGGUACUCGAGUGGCGAACGGGUGAGUAACACGUGAGUGAUCUGCCCCCAACUUGGGUAUAAGCCUGGGAAACUGGGUCUAAUUCCCGAUAGGACUGCAGGGUGGUGCCUGUGGUGGAAAACGAUUUUCUAGUGGUUGGGGAUGAGCUCGCGGCCUAUCAGCUUGUUGGUGGGGUAAUGGCCUACCAAGGCGGCGACGGGUAGCCGGCCUGGGAGGGUGGACGGCCACAUUGGGACUGAGAUACGGCCCAGACUCCUACGGGAGGCAGCAGUGGGGAAUAUUGCACAAUGGGCGGAAGCCUGAUGCAGCGACGCCGCGUGGGGGAUGACGGCCUUCGGGUGGUAAACUCCUUUCGACCGCGAGGAAGCCACCUGGUUGGAAGGGUGGUGACGGUAGUGGUAGAAGAAGCACCGGCUAACUACGUG